CGUUAGCGGCGGACGGGUGGGUAACACGUGGAUAACCUACCUAUAAGACUGGGAUAACUUCGGGAAACCGGAGCUAAUACCGGAUAAUAUAUUGAACCGCAUGGUUCAAUAGUGAAAGACGGUUUUGCUGUCACUUAUAGAUGGAUCCGCGCCGCAUUAGCUAGUUGGUAAGGUAACGGCUUACCAAGGCAACGAUGCGUAGCCGACCUGAGAGGGUGAUCGGCCACACUGGAACUGAGACACGGUCCAG
rnacentral:rRNA from 1 species